UGCAUCGGCCGGGAAUCGAACCCGGGGCCACCGGAGUGGCAGGCGAGCAUUUUACCACUGAACCACGGAUGA
rnacentral:tRNA from 1 species